rnacentral:rRNA from 1 species
AGCCUAUACAGGUGUUGCAUGGCUGUCGUCAGCUCGUGUCGUGAGAUGUUCGGUUAAGUCCGCUAACGAGCGCAACCCUCGUCGUAUGUUAUAUGUGUCAUACGAGACUGCCGGUAAAAAGCCGGAGGAAGGUGAGGAUGAUGUCAAGUCAGCAUGACCUUUAUAUCCAGGGCUACACACACGCUACAAUGGUCUGUACAAUGGGUAGCCAAGCCGCGAGGCGGAGCCGAUCCUGAAAGCAGGCCUCAGUUCAGAUUGCAGUCUGCAACUCGACUGCAUGAAGCCGGAGUUGCUAGUAACCGCAGGUCAGCAAUACUGCGGUGAAUACGUUCCCGGGUCUU